CAGUAGCCGCGGGAAUACGUAUGUCACGAGCGUUAUCCGGAUUUAUUGGGCGUAAAGCGCGUCUAGGUGGUUAUAUAAGUCUGAUGUGAAAAUGCAGGGCUCAACUCUGUAUUGCGUUGGAAACUGUAUAACUAGAGUACUGGAGAGGUAAGCGGAACUACAAGUGUAGAGGUGAAACUCGUAGAUAUUUGUAGGAAUGCCGAUGGGGAAGCCAGCUUACUGGACAGAUACUGACGCUGAAGCGCGAAAGCGUGGGUAGCAAACAGGAUUAGAUACCCCGGUAGUCCCUGUCUCUUAUACA
rnacentral:rRNA from 1 species